UACAGAGGGUGCGAGCGUUAAUCGGAUUUACUGGGCGUAAAGCGUGCGUAGGCGGCUUUUUAAGUUGGAUGUGAAAUCCCUGAGCUUAACUUAGGAAUUGCAUUGGAUACUGGGAAGCUAGAGUAUGGGAGAGGAUGGUAGAAUUCCAGGUGUAGAGGUGAAAUGCGUAGAGAUCUGGAGGAAUACCGAUGGCGAAGGCAGCCAUCUGGCCUAAUACUGACGCUGAGGUACGAAAGCGUGGGGAGCAAACAGG
rnacentral:rRNA from 1 species